AAAUGGAAUCUAUGCAAACCAUCCUCUUUGCUUCCUUUGUGAUGGACACUCCUUAGCUUCUGCGCCUUAAUAAGACAGAUCUUGCUGUGUUGCUCAGCUGAAGUAUGGUGUUGUGAUCAAAACUCACUGCAGCCUGGAACUCCUGGGCUCAAGACAUCCUCCUGCCUUGGCUCCCGAGUAGCUGGGACCACAGGUGCAAGCCUCUGCACUGCAGUGCUCCUCUGCAGCAACCUCAGAACAGUGGCCCACACUCCUAGAAUUUGAGAAAAUGGCAUCUUCUUCAGAGGACAGAGGU